UGCAUGGUUGUCGUCAGCUCGUGUCGUGAGAUGUUGGGUUAAGUCCCGCAACGAGCGCAACCCUAUGUUAGUUGCCAUCAUUCAGUUGGGCACUCUAGCGAGACUGCCGGUAAUAAACCGGGGGAAGUGGGGAUGACGUCAAAUCAUCAUGCCCCCUUAUGGCCUGGGCUACACACGUGCUACAAUGGUUGGUACAACGAGUUGCGAGUCGGUGACGGCGAGCUAAUCUCUUAAAGCCAAUCUCAGUUCGGAUUGUAGGCUGCAACUCGCCUACAUGAAGUCGGAAUCGCUAGUAAUCGCGGAUCAGCACGCCGCGGUGAAUACGUUCCCGGGCCUU
rnacentral:rRNA from 1 species